UCGUAACAAGGUCUCCGUUGGUGAACCAGCGGAGGGAUCAUUACCGAGUUUACAACUCCCAAACCCUUAUGUGAACCGUACCUAUCGUUGCUUCGGCGGGAACGCCCCGGCGCCCUGCGCCCGGAUCCAGGCGCCCGCCGGAGACCCCAAACUCUUGUGUUUUUUUCAGUAUUCUCUGAGUGGCAAACGCAAAAAUAAAUCAAAACUUUUAACAACGGAUCUCUUGGCUCUGGCAUCGAUGAAGAACGCAGCGAAAUGCGAUAAGUAAUGUGAAUUGCAGAAUUCAGUGAAUCAUCGAAUCUUUGAACGCACAUUGCGCCCGUUAGCAUUCUAGCGGGCAUGCCUGUCCGAGCGUCAUUUCAACCCUCAGGGUCCCCGUUCCGGCGGGGAACCUGGUGUUGGGGAUCGGCCCGCCCCGCGCGGCGCCGUCCCCCAAAUUCAGUGGCGGUCUCGCUGCAGCCUCCCCUGCGUAGUAGUUACAACCUCGCAUCGGAGCUCAGCGCGGCCACGCCGUAAAACCCCCGACUUUCUGAACGUUGACCUCGGAUCAGGUAGGAAUACCCGCUGAACCUAAGCAUAU
rnacentral:misc_RNA from 1 species